GACGAACGCUGGCGGCGUGCUUAACACAUGCAAGUCGAGCGAUGAAAGCCUUAUGAACUAUUCGUAGUGAUUGGGGCCGGAUUAGCGGCGGACGGGUGAGUAACGCGUGAGCAACCUGCCUUAAACAACGGGAUAGCCUCGGGAAACCGGGAUUAAUACCGUAUGAGACCCCGCCUUCACAUGAAGAAGAGGUUAAAGAUUAUCGGUUUAAGAUGGGCUGGCGUCUGAUUAGCUAGUUGGUGAGAUAAAAGCCCACCAAGGCAACGAUCAGUAACCGGCUUGAGAGAGUGAACGGGCACAUUGGAACUGAGACACGGUCCAAACUCCUACGGGAGGCAGCAGUGGGGAAUAUUGCACAAUGGGGGAAAGCCUGAUGCAGCGACGCCGCGUGAGAGAUGAAGGAAUUCGUUUCGUAAAGCUCUGUCCAAGGGGAAGAUAAUGACAGUACCCUUGGAGGAAGCCCCGGCUAAAUACGUGCCAGCCGCCGCGGUAA
rnacentral:rRNA from 1 species